AGAGUUGAUCAUGGCUCAGGACGAACGCUGGCGGCGCGCCUAACACAUGCAAGUCGAACGGAACUGUUCGGAUGAAGUUUCGGAUGGAUGAAGAACAGUUAGUGGCGGACGGGUGAGUAACACGUGAGCAACCUGCCUUUCAGAGGGGAAUAACAUUCGGAAACGAAUGCUAAUACCGCAUAAUGCAACGAGAUGGCAUCAUCUUGUUGCCAAAGAUUUAUCGCUGAAAGAUGGGCUCGCGCCCGAUUAGCUAGUUGGUGGGGUAAUGGCCCACCAAGGCAACGAUCGGUAGCCGGACUGAGAGGUUGAUCGGCCACAUUGGGACUGAGACACGGCCCAGACUCCUACGGGAGGCAGCAGUGGGGGAUAUUGCACAAUGGGCGAAAGCCUGAAUGCAGCGACGCCGCGUGAGGGAAGUACGGUUUUCGGAUUGUAAACCUCUGUCUUCGAGGGACGAUAAUGACGGUACCUGAGGAGGAAGCACCGGCUAACUACGUGCCAGCCGCCGC
rnacentral:rRNA from 1 species